rnacentral:lncRNA from 1 species
AAUUCACCACCAGUUUGGAAGUUCAAAAAUUUUUUCUUUUCCUUCUUUUUGCGGGAACUCUGGCAUAAUUCUUGAAAAAUUACAAAAUAUUGGAAAAAUGCCAGGGUAAACUACAAGCACUGAUAACACAGAUAAAACCUACUAGUUACCUAUACUUAACUUAGAAUAUAUUUCCAUGGCUUACGUAGACUCUUAGCUUGCCUAUUGCUAAUAACCAUCGCAUUUCUCUGCCCGUUGUAGAUCUGGAUACUUUCUGCCAUGUAUAGUUCUUCAUCUCUAUCCAAUGCCUUUAAAACUUUGCUUUCUUGCCAUUUCGCCUCCAUAUCUUGCUCAUAUACUCUCUUGGCCAGGCGGUAUUCAGGUUGGCCCUUCCUAUUUUGUUUUUGUGCUCUACCAGCCUGCUUUUGAGGUUCCUCUUGGUGGCCCCAAUAUAAACCUCGUUCUCUCCAUCUUCCUUGUUUGGUACAGGGAUGGUAUAUGCACCUGUCCUU